UCCUGUGCUCAGACCUGCUGUACAACCUGUGUCUGAUGACUGGAAAGGCCUCUCUCUGGUUAUCUCUUAGGAAAACCUCUGUAACACAAUUCUUCCUAAAAAUGUCCUUUUAAAGUUGGUGACCCAUUCCAAUCAAACAAAUAGAAAGCACAUGAGGAGAAAAGUAAGGGGUGAGGCAUAACCUCACAACUCCAAAAUCAUCUUGCAAAUGAUAUGGUCCUUUCUUAUGAGGAUGAUUGUAUUUUCAAUGUUUCAUAUAGUGAAAGACAAAUAUAAAAAGUAAAACAUCUUACUGUGCCCUCAGAUGCUUUCGGAGAAACGACUGUUCUAACAGCAGAUGAACCUAGUGAGCUAGCCUGACGUCAUCCCACGAAGCCUUGGGUGCAUUAGGCUGCCACAAGCUGUGCCAACAAAACUAGAGCAGAAAGGAGAGAGAUCUGUCCUGAGCCGGAGGCCAGGGACCAAGAGGAGUGAGGCAGGCCUUGGCCGCCCUUGUUUCUGGGCUGGUUUUAGCAGAGUAGAUCUCAUCUGCCAGUCCUGCAGGGUGGCAUAUUUAAGGGAAAGGAAAUGUACCAUAGGAUUUCAGCUUCACUAAAAAUCUGCAGGCAUUAUUAUCCAUAAACAGUAACUAGUUGAUUCUCUGUCAGUCAGGGUACAACCUCUUUCUUCUGACACUAGUGAACUGUUACUAAAAAGCAUAAGAAAAUUAAAAAUGACCACAGCCCUUCUCUUAGCUUCUCUGGAGGCAGUACAGAGACUGGUCAAAGGAGACAGGAAUUCAGCUGAAGAGUUAGCUAAAUCAGAAAUCAAGGAAAAGCUAGUAGAAUUACAACUGUGAGCAUAAGGUGAGUAUGUAUAUAGGAAAACAGCAUAAACAGGCACAUACCUAGAUAGGACCUCUGGAUCACUCCUGGGACUGUCUCAUCUUUCUGAAAGAGGUAUACUAGCUGCAUGGUUCCCCUAUGGCACAGCGAAAAGCACACAGAAACACAGUAUGGUUUUGGUUAACAAUUAUUGGCAGCUCAACCUAUUUGAAGAAUUCCUAUUUGAAGAAUUAUUUUUAAUUAAAAGGAAGUUUAUUUUUAGGGGACCAGAAAUUAGCUGUAAUUAUGAGUUUUUAUGAAUUGAGACGUCUGAGUGUAGAACAAGCUAAUGACACUGCAUUUUAGUAAAGGCAUGUUUUCACUAUUGGAUUAGAAGGACGCAUACCUUCAUAUUGCCAUUAUUAUAGAAAGUGUUAUGCUUUACUAAAUGACAGGGCCUAUGUUUAAACAUGAUUAUUCUUUACCUGAGGAUUUUUAUUUUCUCAAUGCCUGAACAUACCACAUAGCAAGCAGCAGGAGGAGAGGGUUAAAAUUUACAACGUUAGAAGCAGGUUUUCAUAUAGGAUAUCAAACCAUACUAACCCCAUAUUCAAAAUUAUAUAAAUUGUACUUCUACUGAGUAUAUGGCAAAUAUGUAAAAACCCAGCAUACAGGAAAAAAGUCUAAUACCUGACAGUCUAAUGUAUUAUCCUAAUAGGCGGAUUAAAUUUUCACUCUACUAAGUAUUAACUGUAGUUCCAAGCAUUGAUUCUGAAAUACUUAACAAAAAUACCUUAGGGAUUUAAUCUCUCCUGAACACAAACCUGAACUUAUACAAUUUAACUCAAAAUUACCUUUUAAGAUAUCAGAACACAUUUACAUAUUUGCAAUUUUUAUCUAUUACCUGUAUAUGCCAAAACUUUCAUCAAGGCUUCAAUACUGGAAUUGUUCUAUGCCUUUGUAUCACAGACCUACAGAGAUUUGAAGUGAGUUUGGGAAUAAACUCAGGUCUCUGAAUUCCCUAUUCCAUGCUCCAUCUGCAUAGCUAUUACUAAGGUAAUGACAAUAAAUCCUGAAUUUAGAGUGAGUUUAAUAUUGCAAUUCCAAAACAUAAAGCUUGUACAACUCUUGGAAUAACUCACCAAAAUAAAUGGCUUUUUACUAUGA